AGAACGAACGCUGGCGGCAGGCUUAACACAUGCAAGUCGAACGGUUGUAGCAAUACAGCAGUGGCAGACGGGUGAGUAACACGUGGGAACCUUCCUAGGGGUACGGAACAACUCAGGGAAACUUGAGCUAAUACCGUAUACGUCCGUGAGGAGAAAGAUUUAUCGCCCCUAGACGGGCCCGCGUAGGAUUAGGUAGUUGGUGAGGUAACGGCUCACCAAGCCUACGAUCCUUAGCUGAUCUGAGAGGAUGAUCAGCCACACUGGGACUGAGACACGGCCCAGACUCCUACGGGAGGCAGCAGUGGGGAAUCUUGGACAAUGGGCGCAAGCCUGAUCCAGCCAUGCCGCGUGAGUGAAGAAGGCCUUCGGGUUGUAAAGCUCUUUUACCAGGGACGAUAAUGACGGUACCUGGAGAAUAAGCCCGGCAAACUUCCGUGCCAGCAGCCGC
rnacentral:rRNA from 1 species